rnacentral:rRNA from 1 species
UGGCGGACGGGUGAGUAAUGUCUGGGAAACUGCCUGAUGGAGGGGGAUAACUACUGGAAACGGUAGCUAAUACCGCAUAACGUCGCAAGACCAAAGAGGGGGACCUUCGGGCCUCUUGCCAUCGGAUGUGCCCAGAUGGGAUUAGCUAGUAGGUGGGGUAACGGGCUCACCAGGCGACGAUCCCUAGCUGGUCUGAGAGGAUGACCAGCCACACUGGAACUGAGACACGGUCCAG